AGAAUCAACGCUGGCGGCGUGCCUAACACAUGCAAGUCGAACGAGAAAAUGGAGCAAUCCAUGAGUAAAGUGGCGCACGGGUGAGUAACACGUGACUAACCUACCCUUGAGGUGGGGGAUAACUUCGGGAACCGAGGCUAAUACCGCAUAAUACCUACGGGUCAAAGGAGCAAUUCGCUUUAGGGAGGGGGUCGCGGUGAUUAGUUAGUUGGCGGGGUAAUGGCCCACCAAGACAGUGAUCGAU
rnacentral:rRNA from 1 species